rnacentral:rRNA from 1 species
CCCAGACUCCUACGGGAGGCAGCAGUGAGGAAUAUUGGUCAAUGGGCUUACGCCUGAACCAGCCAAGUCGCGUGAGGGAAGACUGCCCUAUGGGUUGUAAACCUCUUUUGUCAGGGAGCAACGCCGGCUACGUGUAGCCGGACUGAGAGUACCUGAAGAAAAAGCAUCGGCUAACUCCGUGCCAGCAGCCGCGGUAAUACGGAGGAUGCGAGCGUUAUCCGGAUUUAUUGGGUUUAAAGGGUGCGUAGGCGGAAUGCCAAGUCAGCGGUAAAAUGUCCGGGCUCAACCCGGGCCGGCCGUUGAAACUGGGGAUCUUGAGUGGGCGAGAAGUAUGCGGAAUGCGUGGUGUAGCGGUGAAAUGCGUAGAUAUUAGGAGGAACAUCGGUGGCGA